CCUACGGGUGACAGCAGUCGAGAAUCAUUCACAAUGGGGGAAACCCUGAUGGUGCGACGCCGCGUGGGGGAAUGAAGGUCUUCGGAUUGUAAACCCCUGUCAUGUGGGAGCAAAUUAAAAAGAUAGUACCACAAGAGGAAGAGCCGGCUAACUCUGUGCCAGCAGCCGCGGUAAUACAGAGGUCUCAAGCGUUGUUCGGAAUCACUGGGCGUAAGGCGUGCGUAGGCUGUUUCGUAAGUCGUGUGUGAAAGGCGCGGGCUCAACCCGCGGACGGCACAUGAUACUGCGAGACUAGAGUAAUGGAGGGGGAACCGGAAUUCUCGGUGUAGCAGUGAAAUGCGUAGAUAUCGAGAGGAACACUCGUGGCGAAGGCGGGUUCCUGGACAUUAACUGACGCUGAGGCACGAAGGCCAGGGGAGCGAAAGGGAUUAGAUACCCGGGUAGUC
rnacentral:rRNA from 1 species